UCUCCGUUGGUGAACCAGCGGAGGGAUCAUUAUAGAGUUUUCUAAACUCCCAACCCUUUGUGAACAUACCUAUAACUGUUGCUUCGGCGGGUAGGGUCUCCGCGACCCUCCCGGCCUCCCGCCUCCGGGCGGGUCGGCGCCCGCCGGAGGAUAACCAAACUCUGAUUUAACGACGUUUCUUCUGAGUGGUACAAGCAAAUAAUCAAAACUUUUAACAACGGAUCUCUUGGUUCUGGCAUCGAUGAAGAACGCAGC
rnacentral:misc_RNA from 1 species